CCUACGGGGGGCAGCAGUGGGGGAUAUUGCACAAUGGGGGAAACCCUGAUGCAGCGACGCCGCGUGGGCGAAGAAGUAUUUCGGUAUGUAAAGCCCUAUCAGCAGGGAAGAAGAAAUGACGGUACCUGAGUAAGAAGCACCGGCUAAAUACGUGCCAGCAGCCGCGGUAAUACGUAUGGUGCAAGCGUUAUCCGGAUUUACUGGGUGUAAAGGGAGCGCAGGCGGCACGGCAAGCCUGAUGUGAAAGCCCGCGGCCCAACCGCGGGACUGCAUUGGGAACUACCGGGCUGGAGUGCCGGAGAGGUAGGCGGAAUGCCUAGUGUAGCGGUGAAAUGCGUAGAUAUUAGGAGGAACACCAGUGGCGAAGGCGGCUUACUGGACGGUGACUGACGCUGAGGCUCGAAAGCGUGGGGAGCAAACAGGAUUAGAUACCCCUGUAGUC
rnacentral:rRNA from 1 species